rnacentral:rRNA from 1 species
GUGAGUCAUCGAAUCUUUGAACGCACCUUGCGCUCCUUGGUAUUCCGAGGAGCAUGCCUGUUUGAGUGUCAUUAAAUUCUCAACCUCACCAGUUUUCUGAACUGUUCUCCGAGGCUUGGAUGUGGGGGUUUGUGCAGGCUGCCUCACGGCGGUCUGCUCCCCUGAAAUGCAUUAGCGAGUUCAUACUGAACUUCCGUCUAUUGGUGUGAUAAUUAUCUACGCCGUGGACGAGGUUCAGACUCGCUUCUAACCGUCCGCGAGGACAAUACCUUGACAAUUUGACCUCAAAUCAGGUAGGACUACCCGCUGAACUUAA